GACGAACGCUGGCGGCGUGCUUAACACAUGCAAGUCGAACGAAGUGGCGAACGGGUGAGUAAUACGUGGGUAACCUGCCCUCCUUUUUGGGAUAAGCCUUGGAAACGGGGUCUAAUACCGAAUAAAGGGGGAUGGGCCCGCGUCCUAUCCGCUUGUUGGUGGGGUGAAGGCCUACCAAGGCGGUGACGGGUAGCCGGCCUGAGGGGGUGGCCGGACGCAUUGAAAGUGGGAGACGGGCCAGACUGCGAGGGGAGGCAGCAGGCGGGUAUGUUGCACAAUGGGAGUAGGUAUGAUGCAGCGACGAGGCGUGGGGGGUGAAGGCUUACGGGUUGUAAGACUGUUUCGCUAUCGAACGGGUAGGUGGGGGAGGAGCGCCGGCUAGCUACGUGCGAGCAGGGGCGGUAAUAC
rnacentral:rRNA from 1 species